UAUCUGCCCACUGCUGAACAUAGGCCUUC
rnacentral:sRNA from 1 species